rnacentral:rRNA from 1 species
GACGAACCGUCCCAAACGUUAUUCGGAAUCACUGGGCUUACAGAGUUCGUAGGCGGUCUGGAAAGUUGGGUGUGAAAUCCCUCGGCUCAACCGAGGAACUGCGCUCAAAACUACCCCGACUCGAGGGAGAUAGAGGAAAGCGGAACUGAUGGUGGAGCGGUGAAAUGCGUUGAUAUCAUCAGGAACACCGGUGGCGAGGCGG